rnacentral:snoRNA from 1 species
AGAUUUGAUGAUGAUUAUACUGCGCCUAGAUGAGCCAAUUAAUGGGUAGAAAUCGGGGCUUCUCAAGCUGAGAUGCGUUCUCCUACCUGAACCCUCU